UGCAAGUCACGGGGGCCCGCAAGGGUAACCGGCGAACGGGUGCGUAACACGUGAGCAACCUGCCUUUGUGUGGGGGAUAGCCGGGCUAACGCCCGGGUAAUACCGCAUACGGUUCCCGAGGGGAGUCCCUUGGGAAAGAAACCUCCGGGGCACAGAGAGGGGCUCGCGGCCUAUCAGCUAGUUGGGGGGGUAAUGGCCCACCAAGGCGACGACGGGUAGCUGGUCUGAGAGGAUGGCCAGCCACAUUGGGACUGAGAGACGGCCCAGACUCCUACGGGAGGCAGCAGUGGGGAAUCUUGCGCAAUGGCCGAAAGGCUGACGCAGCGACGCCGCGUGUGGGAGGACGCCUUUCGGGGUGUAAACCACUGUUGCCCGGGACGAAUAUCCUGUUUUGACAGGAUUGACGGUACCGGGUGAGGAAGCACCGGCUAACUCCGUGCCAGCAGCCGCGGUAAUACGGAGGGUGCGAGCGUUGUCCGGAAUCAUUGGGCGUAAAGGGCGCGUAGGUGGCGGGACAAGCGUGCGGUGAAAGCUCGGGGCUCAACCCCGCGUCGGCCGUGCGAACUGUUUUGCUUGAGCACUGUAGAGGCAGGCGGAAUUCCGGGUGUAGCGGUGGAAUGCGUAGAGAUCCGGAAGAACACCGGUGGCGAAGGCGGCCUGCUGGGCAGUAGCUGACACUGAGGCGCGACAGCGUGGGGAGCAAACAGGAUUAGAUACCCUGGUAGUCCACGCCGUAAACGAUGGGCACUAGGCGCUUGGGGGAGCGACCCCCCGAGGGCCGGCGCUAACGCAUUAAGUGCCCCGCCUGGGGAGUACGGCCGCAAGGCUGAAACUCAAAGGAAUUGACGGGGGCCCGCACAAGCGGUGGAGCAUGUGGUUUAAUUCGACGCAACGCGAAGAACCUUACCUAGGCUUGACAUACACGGGAAAUCCCCCAGAAACGGGGGGCCCUCUUCGGAGCCCGUGCACAGGUGCUGCAUGGCUGUCG
rnacentral:rRNA from 1 species